CGAACGCUGGCGGCGUGCUUAACACAUGCAAGUCGAACGAGAGGAGAAGGAAGCUUGCUCUUUCAAAUCUAGUGGCAAACGGGUGAGUAACACGUAAACAACCUGCCUUCAGGAUGGGGACAACAGACGGAAACGACUGCUAAUACCGAAUACGUUCCUUAGGUCGCAUGAUCUUAGGAAGAAAGGGUGGCCUCUACCUGUAAGCUAUCGCCUGAANAGGGGUUUGCGUCUGAUUAGGUAGUUGGUGAGGUAACGGCCCACCAAGCCGACGAUCAGUAGCCGGUCUGAGAGGAUGAACGGCCACACUGGAACUGAGACACGGUCCAGACUCCUACGGGAGGCAGCAGUGGGGAAUCUUCCGCAAUGGGCGAAAGCCUGACGGAGCAACGCCGCGUGAGUGAUGACGGCCUUCGGGUUGUAAAGCUCUGUGAUCGGGGACGAACGGUCAGCAGACGAAUACUCUGCUGAAGUGACGGUACCCGAAUAGCAAGCCACGGCUAACUACGUG
rnacentral:rRNA from 1 species